rnacentral:pre_miRNA from 1 species
UAUAUACUCCUUUCGUCCGAAAAAACUUGUUCCAAGCUUGUCCCUCAAAUCGGUGUAUCUUGCACCAAAUAGUGCUAGAUACAUCCAUUUGAGGGACAAGCUUUUUCGGACGGAGGGAGUAGAAG